CGGCGCGCAGGCCCGCCCCCAGCCCGGCGCCGCCGCCCGCCUCAGCCCAACAUGGCGAUGCACAACAAGGCGGCACCCCCGCAGAUCCCGGACACCCGGCGGGAACUGGCGGAGCUGGUGAAGCGGAAGCAGGAGCUGGCGGAGACGCUGGCGAACUUGGAGAGACAGAUCUAUGCCUUUGAAGGGAGCUACCUGGAAGACACGCAGAUGUACGGCAAUAUCAUUCGCGGCUGGGACCGGUAUCUCACCAACCAGAAAAAUUCCAAUAGCAAAAAUGAUCGAAGGAACCGGAAGUUUAAGGAAGCUGAGCGUCUCUUCAGUAAAUCCUCAGUUACUUCAGCAGCUGCAGUAAGCGCAUUGGCAGGAGUUCAGGACCAGCUCAUUGAAAAGAGGGAACCAGGAAGUGGGACAGAAAGUGAUACAUCUCCAGAUUUCCACAAUCAGGAAAAUGAGCCCAGCCAGGAGGACCCUGAGGAUCUGGACGGAUCUGUGCAGGGGGUGAAACCGCAGAAGGCUGCUUCUUCCACUUCCUCAGGGAGUCAUCACAGCAGCCAUAAAAAACGAAAGAAUAAAAACCGGCACAGCCCGUCUGGCAUGUUUGAUUAUGACUUUGAGUAUGUAUAUUAGGUUAGGCUGGGAAGUUUUUUUUAAAAACAGAAAAACGUGAUGGAGGAUUGAUCUGAAGUUAAACAAAAAACCACGAGCUGAUUACUAGAAGAUUGAUUAGUACAGAAGCUUCCAGGCUAUAGAGUCCUGCUUCCUUCUCCAACCUCACAGAGAUAAACGUUCCUCACCUGAGUGCGUGGCCAUCCCCCUCUGCUUUCCCAGACCCAGUGCCUGUGACUGAGUAGUUUGUGUUCUGAAAUGUGAUGACAAACAGGUCAUUUCUCUAAGACCACACUGGAUCAUUUACUUUGUGUUGUUUUUAGUAACAGAACUGCAGGACAACAUGGUUAUAAACCCAGCAAGUUGCAAACUGUGCAUUUCUCCCGUCUUGAAAUGAGUGUUUCCUCCCAAAUUGGCUGGCACCCACUUCAUCUGUGAUACCUAUCAAGAAUGUUCUCUGGUUUUGUUUUAUGCUGAAAAUAGAGCACAGGUCACGUUUCAGAGUGAGGCUGUAAAUAUCCGGCAUUUUCUUAUUUUGUUUGUGUUUUAUUAUUUUUCUACUGUUGUUUUUACCAUCGUAUGUUGGGGAUUUUUUGUAAUGCUGUUGUACAGCUCAUACCUUCCUGCUGGCAUAUCUGAUAAUCUGUUUCGUGCAGUUGCCAAUAUUCUUAACUGAAAAUCAUCCGGUUUACCAUAAAUAAAAUGGGGGACUUGGCUCUUCUGUUUUUGUUUUUGCAGGGAGAAGGUAAUGGGUAUUUGUUUAAUAAUUGACUAUCUUCAAUCUUUCUGAGCUGGAAGCAGUUUCAUAUUCUAGGAACAGGAAAGCUGAAGAGCAGAUUUAAAUCAGUCCUUUUAAAAUUGAUAUUUUUAUUCUUUUGUAUAAAUAAAAUUUCAUAGGAUUUGACUUCUCAUACUUUACAUUUAAGCCUGUAAAUUUUUUUCCACUUAUUUAUUCAUAUCAUGCCUUAUGGAAAUUUCUUUUUUCAUCUUUUCUCUCCUUGCUGAUACUUGCCUGAUUAGAUACUGCUCAAAAAUCACUAAGGCAUGUUAUGAGGCUCAAAAUUUGCACUUCAGGCAGAUGAUACGUGGAAUUCUUGAUUGGCAUGAAAGAUAGGAUCAAUGAGAACUACAUUGUCCCACAGGUCUCACUUCCUUUGGGGGGGGUGAUGGGUCAAGGUGUUGUUGAUCAUUGUUUCCUGCCUCUACAGCAGUGGCUUCUACCUGCUACACAUUGAAAUCACCUGGGAAGUUUAAAAAUACAUAUUUUGAUAAUGUGGGUCUCACGCCAAAGGCUCUUACAGGGAUAUAGUCUAAUUACUGGGAUUUCCUUUCAAAGAGUCCCUGGGGUUCUGAUAACCAAAUUGAGAAUCACUGGUAUUAGAAAACUAGUAUUGUAAGUUAAAUCAGUCAACAGGGAUAAGAUUUAAGGCCUCACCUUUCCUUGACUCUAUUUAAUCAUAGUCUUUUACUUAAUUCCCAUAUCUUUGUUAGGAAAAAUAUGUUCCAUUUGUGAUAAUAUUGGUAGAAUUGAAUAUGGAUGGUGUCUGUAAACAAAACAAUCUUCAUCAGAUGUACAAAGCUUUCACUCUUGUUCUGAAAUAAACUUUUUUUUUUUUUGGACUGGC